rnacentral:rRNA from 1 species
AUUGAACGCUGGCGGCAGGCUUAACACAUGCAAGUCGAGCGGAGAUGAGGUGCUUGCACCUUAUCUUAGCGGCGGACGGGUGAGUAAUGCUUAGGAAUCUGCCAUUUAGUGGGGGACAACAUUCCGAAAGGAAUGCUAAUACCGCAUACGUCCUACGGGAGAAAGCAGGGGAUCUUCGGACCUUGCGCUAAAUGAUGAGCCUAAGUCGGAUUAGCUAGUUGGUGGGGUAAAGGCCUACCAAGGCGACGAUCUGUAGCGGGUCUGAGAGGAUGAUCCGCCACACUGGGACUGAGACACGGCCCAGACUCCUACGGGAGGCAGCAGUGGGGAAUAUUGGACAAUGGGGGGAACCCUGAUCCAGCCAUGCCGCGUGUGUGAAGAGGGCCUUAUGGUUGUAAAGCACUUUAAGCGAGGAGGAGGCUACUGAGACUAAUACUCUUGGAUAGUGGACGUUACUCGCAGAAUAAGCACCGGCUAACUCUGUG